CACGCCCUAAACUAUGGAUACUAAGUGUCGGCGGGUUACCGCCGGUGCCGCAGCUAACGCAUUAAGUAUCCCGCCUGGGAAGUACGGCCGCAAGGUUGAAACUCAAAGGAAUUGACGGGGGCCCGCACAAGCGGUGGAGCAUGUGGUUUAAUUCGACGCAACGCGAAGAACCUUACCCAGGUUGGACAUGCACGUAGUAGAAAGGUGAAAGCCUAACGAGGUAGCAAUACCAGCGUGCUCAGGUGC
rnacentral:rRNA from 2 species